GGGUGAGUAGCUCAGUGGUAGAGCAGUGGCCUUUUAAGCCAUUGGCCGUGGGUUCAAUCCCCACCUCACCCACCA
rnacentral:tRNA from 1 species